rfam:Cochliobolus sativus ND90Pr unplaced genomic scaffold COCSAscaffold_16, whole genome shotgun sequence.
CUUCCGCCUGCUGUGGGCAAAUGAGGUGAAUGUGUGUGUCAAUACCGCCCGCUGUCACGAUCUUGUGCUCGCCAGCUAUGACAUCAGUGCAGGCUCCGACCACCAGCUUAGGGUCCACGCCGUCCAUGACAUCGGGGUUGCCUGCUUUGCCAAUGCCAACAAUCAUGCCGUCUUUGAUUCCAAUGUCGGCUUUGUAGAUACCGGACCAAUCGACAAUGAGGGCAUUGGUGAUGACUGUAUCCAAAGACUCCUUAUCCGAUCGACCACCAGCCUGGCCCAUACCCUCACGCAG